rnacentral:rRNA from 1 species
UGUAGGUGAACCUGCGGAAGGAUCAUUAACACUAAUCCACAAACCUAAACUGAACCUUUGCACAGUGCUGCCGACGCCUUGAGCGCGCGGCGCUGUCUCAAACCUAUCAAAAGGAACUAACUAAGUCUUUACCAUAAACCAAAUUUUCAACGAUGGAUAUCUUGGUUCCCGCAACGAUGAAGAACGCAGCGAAGUGCGAUAAGCAAUGCGAAUUGCAGAACCGUGAGUCAUCAGAUUUUUGAACGCAACUGGCGCCGAUUGGCAUCCCAGUCGGCAUGCUUGUUUCAGUGUCUUACGCACUCACCCAAAUCUUAAUGCGAGAGAUGCUCUUCUCUUGCUAAGUAUGAAGGCGCUACUGCGCUCUGCAGCGGGUUCUCGGACUCGCACUCAAUGCAGCAGUCACAUUCUUCAAUGUGAACCUCAUUGAGGCAGGGGCUGAGGCGUCUAGUCUUCCAACCUUCUCUGUAUCUGAAAUCAAGCAGGAUUACCCGCUGAACUUAAGCAUAUCACUA